rnacentral:lncRNA from 1 species
AAAUCACAAGACAUGUAAGUUGUAGAGAUCCAUCCAUCAUGGAUCUUAGCAAGUUAGUGGGAGCUAUUUGCAUUUUAUAAGGAAAAAGGAUCAAAUCGUUUGAUUUCUCAUCAAGAUGUAAAUGAAUCUUUUGUUUACGAGUUUUACAAAAGAUUAGUGGGAGUUAAUCAUGUUCCUAAAAUUUAAGUAUAUAUAUGAUAUAUUAAUUUUGGAAAUGAAAAGAAUACUUCUUCGUUAAAGUUAUGACUUUAAUACAUUUAGAAUGUAUAUGGGAGAUAUAGUCUAUAUACAUGGGAUGGAAAUCUAUAAUGAUAUAUUUCAUGAUAUAAUUGG